rnacentral:rRNA from 1 species
GAUGAACGCUGGCGGCGUGCCUAAUACAUGCAAGUCGAGCGGUAAGGCUUUACACAGUUUGUUUAAACGGCAAAGACAGGUCGCGAUUACGAAGUAAUCGUUUCUUAUACGAAGAAUAAACGCUUCGGUCUAAACCACUCUUUAUCUGGCUAGAUAAACGAGUUUGAACAAAGUGUGUAGAGUACACGAGCGGCGGACGGCUGAGUAAUGCAUUGGAACGUACCCCAAACUGAGGGAUAAUCCACCGAAAGGUGGACUAAUACCGCAUGUGCCAUUCGUGGUAAAGCUACGGCGGUUUGGGAGCGGCCAAUGUUCGAUUAGCUAGUUGGUGAGGUAAUAGCUCACCAAGGCUACGAUCGAUAGCGGGUCUGAGAGGAUGAUCCGCCAGACUGGAACUGAGACACGGUCCAGACUCCUACGGGAGGCAGCAGUAGGGAAUUUUCCACAAUGGGGGCAACCCUGAUGGAGCAACGCCGCGUGCAGGAUGAAGGCCCUCGGGUCGUAAACUGU